rnacentral:lncRNA from 1 species
CACCAGAUCUCCUCUCCCUUGAGUUUUCCUCCAGUAUCGCUCGCCGCCGCAUCGCCUUCGUUGGAAUCCAUCCACUCUCGCACUCAUACAAAGUACGAAUCGCGGAUCCACCCACUCUUCUCCUCGUAGUCGCAAUCUUUGACGUUUUUGAUGUGUGUUGUUUUUAUGACAGAUUUUUUGCAAAAUCGUGCUGAGUGGAUCUGGGAUAGAAGUUGUUUUGAGGGAGAAUAAAAGUUCAUUUUCUGUCAGGUGGGGAGGAGCACUUUAAUUUUUGUUACUAUGAUUCAUCGAUUUCAUCUAGAUGCUCACCACGACAAGGAUUUUGGGGGCUAGGGUUUGGUCAGGGAGGGGUGGGGUGGGAGGAUGCGGGAUCUGACCCGCAUGAUGAAAUUGUUGUUGAUUGGGAAGCAGAGUGGCUCAAUCUUUAGGUUCUAAUCUUGUAAAGGUGUGUUUGCGAAUUAGUAGAGUUUGGGGAACAGGAGGCAGGAGAUGAUGCAUGUUUGUGCGGUGGUUGGGGGAAGUGCUUGGGCGGGCGGACAUGCAUCUUGGUAUUAUCUAGCCAUGAUUUCUAUCUAGACCCCCUUGGUGGUCAGGCACACUUUUCUUUUUGUUAUUACGAUUCAUCAAUUUUCAGGUGGGGUGCUCCCCCCCGGUGAUUCUAAAAAAAUGAUACAUCAAUUCCAUCUGUUUGCUCGCCACGACAAGGACUUUGGGGGAUAUGGUUUGGUCGGGGAGGGGUGGGGUGGGAGGAUGCGAGAUCUAACCGCACAUGAUGAAAUUCUUGUCGAUCGGGAAGCGGAGUGGCUUAGUCUUCAGGUUCUAGUCUUGUAAAGGUGUGUUUGCGAAUUAAUAGAGUUAGGGGAACAUGAGACACGAGAUGAUGCAUGUUUGUGCGGUGGUUGGGGGAAGUGCUUGGGCGGGCAGAAAUGCAUAUUGGUACCAUCUAUCCAUGGUUUCUAUCUGGACCCACCCCCUUGAUGACCUCCUAUGAUUUUCUAAUCCUUCAUGUUUUUUUUAUUUUCCUCUCGUUGAAGGGACAUAUAUAUGGUUUACAAGUUUUUUGAUCUCACGUUAAUGUUUCCUACUAACAUUGUCACAGGGGGCGAUAGUUGAUGGAAUAAAAAGACGACAAAUUCUCAUCCACAUAGCCCAAUACCGAAGGUAAUUAGUCUAUGCACACAAUUACUUCAUCUGCAUGCUUUAUUUACAUGUCAUUGGCAACUAUGUGACACUAAAUUAGUUUCUAGUUCACUUAUGUGUGUCCUAUUUUACAUAGAUUCCAUGGCAAUCUACCUCGUACACCCCAAUUUUUUUAUUUUCUCCCGAUUUUGUGACGACGCAUCAUAUAUGACAAGUUUUGUUAUCCACAUAUGGAUUUCGUGUUACUUGUGAGAUACAUUUGAUUUUUUCUGGUAAUAUUUUGGUAUGAAACACAAUGUCAUUCUCUACAUAUGCAUGCAUAGCAACUUCUUUCUGAUUUUUUUGUCGCACAAUUAAUAUCUCUCAAAUUUUUUGUAGUGUCCUUAUAUGGUUAUUUUUUCACAUUCUCCCCAUGUCUGCAUAUUGUACAUUUUCUCGUGGCACUCCUUUGCAAAGGGGUGGUGCUUUUCUCUCUCUUAAGGUGUGGAUGCACAUUGACAAUUGUGUUGUUCAUAAAUGGAUUUACAUCUUUGUUUACCAUGUGGCAAGUUUUGUUUACUUAACACUACAGGGCUAAGCUCCACAGCCAAACUUUUCUUUCACACCCCAUGAUUUUGCUGAUUUUUCACGCGUACCCUCUCUACUUUUGCAUUUUAUUUGUCAUUUGCAGCUACUUCAUGUUGACAACUUAGACACUGGACAUCAAUGACUUGAAAUAAAUAUAUCUCAUGAACCUUUCGUUGUACCCACAUGAAAAAACAAGCUCAUUUAUCAGAUGAUAAAGGAAGACACGGUGGUUGAUGGCUCUUUCAACAAUAUGCACGUAAUUCAUGAAAAUCUUUACACAAUUGACAUGUCAAUUUAUACUUAUAUUAUAGUAGCUCAUGCUCACAUGUCAUGGCAACUUUAGUAGGGCCAAGUACUAGUAGUAUCGAAUUUUUUUGCCCAAGUCACAUGGGCUGCUUCAUGAUAGGGUUGUCUAGGGAUGCAUUCCAUGCUAACUGUAUUUUUUCGCAAUUUAGAUGGCAACUUUCUCUUGUUUCUCUAUGCAAAUGAUUUUUUCCUCAUCUUCGCCAUUUUUCACUAUUGGUCUAUGAAUGCCAGUGAACUACAUCUUCUUCUUGGUAAUAAAUUACAUCUUCUUCUGGGGCAUAUAGGGAUUUAAGAUAUGGAAUGAUAUCAAUACAACUCCUACUAGUUCUACCAAGGUACAUUAUUUGGUCUUAUGUUCUUAUCCAUUUCCUAUAAGUGCACCAUUCGACUAUGUGCCAUUUUGGAGUAUGACCUUGGGUGUUUUCUUUCCCAUCUUGGUAUUUGUCUUUCUGGAUAUUGUGCGUGCAACUGCAAAAAUAACCACGACAUAUGGGAACUCUCUCUCUCUCUCUCACACACACCAUAUGGUAGUUUUGUUUAGCAAAACAUGGCAAAUUAUCCUAGCACGUGCAUUACUGAUUGUUGUUAAGAAUGGAGGGGAACUUAAUUGGCUUAUGUUGAUGGCAAUCUGACACAUAAUUAUAUGCUAACAUUAGGCCACAAAACACAUGUCAACUUUUAGAUAAUUAUAUGUCAACACUAGGUAUUAACACAUGACAAUCAUUUGUUUCAUGGGUUCUCGAGGGAAAUUAGAGGGGGUGAAAACUUAUCACAUGUGGAUGGAAACACUAGAUCAUGAUACAUAGCAGCCUUUUCCAUACCUUUUUCAUUUGAACUAUGUUUUUGUAUGGAGGGUAAUUAUAGGGAGGGUGGAAAAUUACCAUAACCUUAGAUGACAAAUCCAAAGCACAAGCCAUAACAAUUUUCAUACAACAUCCAUGUUUCUUUUUUACUUUGGAGGAAGUGGGAGGGGGGAUUGGUGUUGAUGGAUAGUUGUAUCCCUCUGUCACAUGUACCGCAUGGGGCAUAUAUGCAUAGGGACGUGUGGGUUCAAGAGACCCAUACAUGGGAGACCGACUUAAUGGAAGGUGCCUCCCCUGAUUUCCCAUAAAGGAAGUCAAGGCCUUUCAAAACUAGGGAGGAGUCCAAUUCUUGGGGACCAGCAUCACUGCUGGGGGUGGGGGAGGGCACCACCAUAUUUCACAUAUACAAGGUCGUCCGACACCACACAGAAGGACCAAGAUCUACACACAUUGCAAUCUGCCCAUAGAAGCCACAUCAAUCCAUGGCACCCUGUCUAGAUCGACCCCUCGAGUUGCCUCCCAACUUUCCAAAACCCUCUCUAUAAAUCUUCGUUGUACUCUAUAUCAAGAUUAACCCGAUAUAAGCAUGAGUGGAGCNNNNNNNNNNNNNNNNNNNNNNNNNNNNNNNNNNNNNNNNNNNNNNNNNNNNNNNNNNNNNNNNNNNNNNNNNNNNNNNNNNNNNNNNNNNNNNNNNNNNNNNNNNNNNNNNNNNNNNNNNNNNNNNNNNNNNNNNNNNNNNNNNNNNNNNNNNNNNNNNNNNNNNNNNNNNNNNNNNNNNNNNNNNNNNNNNNNNNNNNNNNNNNNNNNNNNNNNNNNNNNNNNNNNNNNNNNNNNNNNNNNNNNNNNNNNNNNNNNNNNNNNNNNNNNNNNNNNNNNNNNNNNNNNNNNNNNNNNNNNNNNNNNNNNNNNNNNNNNNNNNNNNNNNNNNNNNNNNNNNNNNNNNNNNNNNNNNNNNNNNNNNNNNNNNNNNNNNNNNNNNNNNNNNNNNNNNNNNNNNNNNNNNNNNNNNNNNNNNGGUAUUAGAAGAAGCUAUGGCGAUCUACCAAUACGUGAACCCGCAACACGUCAGAUUGGGAGGGAGAGUUUGGGGGGGGGGGUGUUCUUUUGAAGGAGGAAGAAACUUGUCGUGGAGUCAGGAUGAACCUGGAUCCGGAUUUAGAUCUAGUGGCCCCGCGCUCACGCUUGCGGGUUGAAGAGUCUGGUCACAAGACUUCUCUCUAUUGCCCGUUCAUGGCAUAGCUCGCGGCUUGUUCUAGUGUGAAUCAUUUCUGCCAUGCGUUGAUGCGCCAUGGGGACAACUAACCUACGUCCGUGCCAUAUAUGCAUCCAAUAACAUACCCGCUUGAAACAGAGCAACUAAAAAAAUACAGGAUAGGAAAAAUCACAGGAAUUUUGUUGCCAUUUAAUCUAUUGAACAAGAAAGGUUGUUCAAUUUGAGUUCUAACCUAAAACAUAGUAAUGCUAAAAGAUUACCAUUGAUACUAUAUAAUGAAAUAUACAUGAAUUCAAGACACAAGGAAGAAAAAACAUAAGGUAAGACCACAUGUCUGAUUUCCAGCAAAGUCCCUAGGGAUUGUCCAAUUCAUAAAAAAUCCGGUGAAGCAUUUCUUACUCUGAAUGAUACCAUAGGAACUAUUUAUAUAGGCAUUUAGUUCUCCAAAUUCCUAUCUUUUUCCAUUUUUACCAAACGAGGCCUUGACGUAGGAUAAAAAAACAUUUUAACUGUUUGCAAAAGUCAGUAUUACAUUCAUUCCAUGAAUAUCUGUCAUCAUAAAAAUGUGCCUAUUUAUAUUUUUUGCAAAAAAGCACAAAAUCCAUGUAUUAAGUAGCACAUGUCCCUACAAAAGCAUCCUUGGAGAAAAAAAAUCAAAUUCUUAAGGACGUCGAAGUGUUGUUCCUCAUGCAUCCAUCAACGGCGUGCCAUGAAAAAGAUCUUGUUGCUGGCUCUGGGCCUCCAUCUCAGUGUAGCCAACUCAUUAAAACUCAUGACCUUGUAAAAGUAGUGACCGCGAAAUCAUCGAUGUAGGCUAGAAGACGUAUGCAACCACAAUCCACGUAGAAAAUUGCCACACCGCAAAAGAUAACACCAAAGAGGACCCAUAGAACGUCCCAUGUUCGACCAGGCAGAGUUGGGGAACAUGAACCUCACCUGCUCUCCGACUAGGUCAAGACUGGCCAACAUCAUCUACCAGAGCUAAUGCCGGAGAACCAAGAUGUAUAACCACAUUAUCGGCUUCAUAGGACAACGCCACCAAGAAAAUUUUGGAAAAUAAAAAGGCACACCACGAGAACUAGAUAUUGGCACACACGAUCCUAAAUAAGCACAUUGGGGUUCCAUGAACUUCCAGCUAGCCAGCAUGCCGUAGGACAUCAUUCCUGCAUUGGAACGGGGCCGACGCCUCACCGCCACAAAUCAUGCGACUUGCUAAAGAAAAUUGGAGACCAAUCGCCCAUGCCGCUUCAUGCCAGAUUUGGGCUUGAUGUCGAGCUCAUUGUCACCCAGGACCAUGCCCCGACGCCCUCUUCUCUCAUGAUCCAGCCAGGUUAGCCCACUUUCUAAGAUCGCAGCGCUGGAUCAACAACGCCGCUGUCAAGAAUCGUUCAUCGAAGACCGCACCUCGGUUACUCAUCUCCGUCCCUGACCCACAAUAACCCAUCAACUCCUCCCUAUCAGGCCCCUACACUCAGCAACAUUCCCGCUACUGCGCACACUGCAUGGACGAUGAUCAUAAUAGCGGCGAGAGACGGAGAAGACGAGUGACGGCUAGGGGUUCAAUCGUCCGCCUCGACCCUCUCCUACCAAGGGCAUCUCCAACACCGACCCUCAAACCGUCCGCAUACAUCCGAACCAUGCUGUCCAGAUGUGUUGUGCCAUCCAAUGCAGGCCUGUAUAGGUCCAUCGGGCGGUCUGGAUGUAUUUUUCCCACAAACCAGAGACAAACAAGGGGGAGCGGGGCUUUGCGGGCGCCUGGACCGCUGCCACAUCCGCUCCUGACCACCCUAACCCACAAAAAAAACCACGCACCUCUCCCCCACUUUUCAUUGAAUGCCCGCGGCGCUUGCCGCGCCGCAUUCAUGUCGGCCCAGAGCAUGCAGCGGCCGCCAUUGAUGCCCACGAUUUGACCGGACGGGAAGGCGGCGCGGACGGUCGUGACCUCUCGGGUGUUGCAGCUUCAAUGGGGACGCCCCGUCCCGAGAUACCAACUCCGGUCUUGUGCCGCAUUGAAGCGGGUUGGCCGCCCCUCCGCCUGGCCUGGCCGUGACUAUUUAGGCCGUUCACCGGCGAUGCACAGAACCACAUUCCUCACUCCGAUAGGUGAAGGACGAGCCGGCGUCCCCGCCGAAGCCGCAGCCUCCACAUCGUCGUCCGCGUGAAGAAGGAGCCGACGUCCCCCCAGCACCUCCUCCACGUGAAGGACGAGCCAGCAUCGCCCCCACUGCACAACCUCCAUGCGCAAAUCGACGGACCCUCGUCGCCACCACGACGCCACUGCAUCCUGAUAAAGGAGGAGCUGCUGCCCGCGAUCACGAAGGCACGUGGCCGCAUCCCCGACUACCUUGGAGGAGGCAGUUCCGGUGGUGCCUCCGGCUCUUAGGACAUGGUAUCCGAGGAGGAGCGCGCGGCGAGGCAGCAGGCGAGGUGCAAACGGCGCAAUGCCGGUCACCGUUCUGCGUUCGCCAAGAUCGACGUGGCGUCGAAAUGGGUCUGCAACGACCCGGACCUCGCCGCCGCGUGGGCGCUCGACCGCUCUGUCACAACCGGGGAGACGAUCACCAGGCGCCGCCGCCACCUUGACGGCGAGCUUGCCACGAUCGGCGAGGAGUGCGACUGCUCUGCCAACGCCGACAAGGCAAGGCCGCUGCCAGGGCUCUACCGGCGUCCUUGGCAGUGGCCAAGACGGCCCUCCUCACCAUGCAACAGGAGGCGGAGCGAUUCCUCCGCGAGCGGCAGGCAACCACCGGACAAGGCUGUCGCGGCCCUCCGGCAUCCUUGCGCCGUUGGAGGGACAACGGCGGCGGCACGGACGGCGAAGCGAUGCGGCAGGAUAGGGCGGCCACGCUUACGAGGUGGUUGUCCGAUAUAGGAUAUAGUUUUUUUAAAAGAUUUUAGUAAAAGUGGUCAAAAACCAUCUGUUUAUAUAAAUUACAUCUGAACUUGAAUGAAAUCCGCCUGGUUUACAUGAAUUUCAUCCGUUUAGUUUCAAAAAUUGUUGAAUUGUAUGCGGCCAACGCUGGAUGGCGGUCACCGACAUCAAUGUCCAUGGACAGGGGAUCUCUCUGUCGGCGGACAGAUGUGGGAGAAAAUUAGCGGCUCUGAAUUGGAGAUGCGUAAACUCUGAACUCUUGCUCUCAUGCACUCACGACGAGAGCACGGACUCCUCGGGCAUGAGGAGUACUGCCAACGUGUGGCUCGGGUCCUGGCAUGGACGGGAGCAGCGCACGACGUUGUUUGCAACGGUGGACAUGACGGUGCACAAGGCGCACGGCGCCGGCAACGCGGCAUAGACACGGCUGCGUUGAUUUUAGAAGGGAGAGAGAAAGGCACUAGUGAUAGACGAUGGAUUGACACGUGGGUAAGGAUGUAAGUGAGAGUAGACUCUGAUCCUGGGCGGGAUAGAAUGCUUCCUGGUGUACCAAACAGGUUCAGGGUCGGGAUCAGACUAGGAUCGUCAGUACAUGGAACAAAAUUCAGGGAUUUUGAGGUGAGGAUUCAGCGGCUACCUUCUCGUCAGCUGAAAUGCUGAAUCCUUCGAAAUCGUGGAACCACAAGCCAGUUUGUGCUUGCCUGCACGCGCUGUACUAGUCGUAGUAGUUUUUCUUGGGGUGGCCAUUGUUGGUGUGAUGUGAGCUGGGCCAUUCUUCUCCGUAUGUCCUCGAGAACUGUCAGGUUGCCGCUGAAAGCGAGCCCAUGUCUUUUUCUUCAGACAGCGAGAAGUCAUGUGUUAUCAUCUGUCGACUCUGUCUAAUUCUUCUUUUCCAUACCAUACCACCCUUGUCUGAUUUUUCUUUUCCACACCAUCCUGGGGAGGAGGGGCUCUAUCUGAUUUUGCUUUUCCAUGUCAUCAGGUCGACUCUUGUCUGAUUAAUAUCUGUCUUCCAUUUGAGUAAAGUCUGGUUAGUAUCUGUCAGUAUGACAUUUUUGUAGUGUUCAAAAAAAAAGUAUGACAUUUUUGUAGAACACGGAAGAGUCAGUAUGUUGAUGGCUUUGUUAAUUCAAAGCCGGGCUCUUCUGGAGCCUACGUUCCAAAAAAAGAUUAGUAUAUAUAUUGGUGUAUCUGUGGGCUUCUAACAGGCCAACUAAUGCACGACAAAUUCUGGGCCUAGAUUCCAUCUAGAUGGUCCAGGCCCAAAAAUAAAAGGUAGACAUGCAUUUUCACAUGCAUGCCUGACUUUUCUCAGAAAAAAAAGAUGCAUAACUGACUAUUUUUUUUGCGUGUAGACUGACUUUACAUUUUGUCACCUAUCUAUUUUUCCAUUUUUGAGGACACUACCUUUUGUCACCUCCUUGAAUUGAAGAGCACCGUACCGUAAGACUCCUUGUACUAAUCCAACCCCCGAAUUAGAAACGACGAUCUUGACAGCAGUAGGCAGUAGCAAACGGCCACACACGGUUUACUAGUAUCCUUGUCUCUCAUGCUAACGUUCGUAAUGCUCAGUCGUCGGGCAGUGAGGUGUCUCGGCGGCGGCAGUCGUCGGCUAGCUAUUGAAAAAAACCACCACGCCCCACGAGUUCGUCUCGUAUACCAGGCUUAACUCGCGGCCUCAUUUGGCGCUUUGGCAGCAUCCUAUCCAUCCAGUACGAGACGAACUGUCUACUACUGUAUCUAUCUAUCUAUAGCUCACCUUUUUCAUUAAUCACGUGAAUUUAAUAGCUAUCUGAUGCUUUAAUUGAUCCUUAUCUCUUGCAUGCUGCAGGCUAUAAAUAGAGGGUGCGGCACACAAGGCUGAACCACAGAACCACACACACCACAACCCACAAGCAAGAGAGUACGUAGAGUGAGACCACAGUGGUGAGGAGAGAUCGG